GCUCUAAAGAGAGAGAUGCACCAUUUCACAACUUCAGCAAAAGCCAAAGCAGCCAACAAAGCCACAGCCCUAUCGGCUGUACUGGGCUCUGCCUUUUGGGCAGCUCGCCGGCCACUCCCCAAAAGCAGAGCAUUCCAUCCUUUCUCUUUUUAAACCCACGUCAUCAUCUGAUCAUAAUGGAAAUCAAUCUCCUCAAACCACCAUGCAAAGGCGUAUCCAUGGCAACCUCAAAAGGAAGGACACAGAGAUGAUGCUUCAGUGGCUGCAGCAGGAAAAGCUCUUCGCCUCUCGGUACCUUAAGUAUACCUGAGUAGCCAGUGGUCAACAUGGGUUUGCUGCUCUCCUCACUGCAAUAAAUGACGGAAACCUGUAGCUCAGUAUGGAUUCAGGGGCGCCUCAGACGCUCGCAGGAACGGAGGGGAGACCCUUGCAGUUCUGGAGGAACUCUAAGGCGCAGUCACUCUGAUCCCAGGAGAACAAUGCUAGGCUGAAGAGCUGAGUCCAGCCCUGACUGAAAACUGCGCACCGACCGCAGCCGGGAUUACAUCAAUCAGGCACAAAGCUGGACACCUGGGACAGGAUAAGCGCACGCGCACUGUGCCUGGGAAGCCGAUUAGGACCAUAAGAAAUCGGCGUGUCGUGGCGAGCGCCCUCUUUCGGCGGAGGGGAGAAAGCGCAGAAGGGCUGGAGGACUUAUUUGCAAGUGUUAAACUGCUAAUUAAAACAAUAGCGAUAAACCAUAUCUCCUCCAUUAGCCUGGGGGAGAAAAUUAAAUGUUGCUGCUACUCAGUGUUACCUGUCAUAUGGGGAUACAGGCAUUCUCAUGCGCUUAUGAUGGGAAUGUAAAAUACAAAUUUACAUAAUGGCAUUUUAAAAUUUUAGACAUAGGUUCAAAUUCUUUUUUUUCUGUUUUUAAGACAAGGUCUCGCUCUGUUGUCUAGACUGGAGUGCGGUAGCACGCACAAUCAUGGCUCAUUGCGGCCUUGACUUCUCAGGCUCAGGCCAUCCUCCCACCUCUCAGCCUCCGUAGUAGCUGGGUCUGCAGGCGCGCACCACCAUGCCCUUUUAAUUUUCGUUUUUUGUUUUUUGUUUUUUUGUAAAGACGGGGUUUCACAAUGUUGCCCAGGCUGGUCUCGAACCCCUGGGCUCAAGCGAUCCAAUCGCUUCGGCCUCCCAAAGGGCUGGAAUUACAGACAUGAGCCACCGCACCCGCCUGGGUUCAAAUUCUAACUGCAAUUUACUAGCCGUGUGAAAUCUAGAGUUACUUAUUUACCCUCUCUGUGCCUCUGUUUUCUUAUUUGUUAAAGUGAGAAUGUAAAUGAUGGUACCUAUCUCAUUAUGUUGUUAGAAGGAUUAAGUUAAUCCAUGUAAAGAGCUGGAAAUAUAACUAUUGUAAUGUUAUAUUUAUUUCAGUUAAUCUCAGAUUUAAAACAAACUGAAAAAUUCAUAAAGUUGCUGUAAGGGGCAGUAAGCAGUAGAAGGGAUGCAUUGAGUAUCCCCUUUAUUACUCCCCCCUUUUCCCUAUUUCACCUUCUAAAUAUUUAUAAUUAUUAUUUUGAAUAGAUAAUACGUUUACAUGGCUCAAAAAUCAGAACACUAUUUUAGAAUAUACACAGAGAAACCUCCCUUCAACCCUGGUUCCCAUCGACUCCAUCCCCCUUGCCUGCUACAGAUAAUGCUUAUUAGUGUCUUCUUGUUUAUCUUUUCAGUGUUUUGUGCAAAUAUAAACUCAUAUGAAUAUAUAGUCUUACUCCUCCCAUUUCUUAUGCCAAAUGUAGCAUGCCAGAUACAAUUGGCAUAAGUUCUGUUCACUUAAUCUAUUCUGAAAAUCUUUCUAAAUCAAUAAAUUAGAGAUCUUCCUCAUUUUUCAGCUGCUUAGUACUCUAUUGCAUGGAUACACAUAAUUUAUUAACCAGUUUCUUCUAGUUACAUACUUUAUUUCCAGUCUUUUAGUAUUACAAUCUUGCAAUGAAUCACUUUGAACAUAAUGACAUUCCAAUGUGAGCAGGCAUAUCUCUAGGAUACAUCUUGGUCAAAUAAUAAAUGUAUCUAUAAUUUUAGUAGAAAUGUCUUCCAUCUCCUUCAAUUAAAGAAAAAUAAAAAGUAAAUAUAAAGACUUUAAAAGAUACUGCAUAUACAUAUUUUUAAUUGUCGUAAAGCAUACAUAACAUGAAAUUUACCAUUUUAACCAUGUUUAAGUUCAGUGGCACUCAGAACAUUCACAUUGUUGUGCAAUCAUCACCACUAUCCAUCUCCAGAACUUUUUCACCUUUCUGUACCAAAAACAAACAUGUAAGCAAACAAAACCCUCUGUGAUGAUCUGACAAAAAAACUAAAGUGUAUGAUAGAAUGUGUGUAGGUUAUAUAUAAA
ensembl:lncRNA DCTN1-AS1 DCTN1 antisense RNA 1